AAAUUGAAGAGUUUGAUCAUGGCUCAGAUUGAACGCUGGCGGCAGGCCUAACACAUGCAAGUCGAACGGUAGCACAGAGAGCUUGCUCUCGGGUGACGAGUGGCGGACGGGUGAGUAAUGUCUGGGAAACUGCCUGAUGGAGGGGGAUAACUACUGGAAACGGUGGCUAAUACCGCAUAACGUCGCAAGACCAAAGAGGGGGACCUUCGGGCCUCUUGCCAUCAGAUGUGCCCAGAUGGGAUUAGCUUGUUGGUGA
rnacentral:rRNA from 3 species